UACGUAGGGUGCGAGCGUUAAUCGGAAUACUGGGCGUAAAGCGUGCGCAGGCGGUUCGUUGUGUCCGUCGUGAAAGCCCCGGGCUUAACCUGGGAACUGCGAUGGAAACUAGCGAGCUGGAGUGUGGCAGAGGGGGGUGAAGAUUCCGCGUGUAGCAGUGAAAUGCGUAGAGAUGCGGAGGAACACCGAUGGCGAAGGCAGCCCCCCUGGGGCUAAA
rnacentral:rRNA from 1 species